AAACAGUAAGGUCUCUCUCCCUCUCUUUCUCUCUCUCUUUUUGCUUGAAAAACUCAAAGUGAAUUGUGUUUAUGUCAAAUUUCUCGUAAAAAGUAGUCACAUACUCUCAUGAAUCAGCCGUAUUGCCCUUAUUUUUACCUGAUAUUAUUUAUCUGACUCCCACAAAACAUGUGUAUCAUUCAGUACCUAGUCAACCUAUAUCGUUCAACGGAACUUGUAACUUUCCUCUUAUAAAACCUAUAGGAAAUUCCAUACAUUCACAGUGUUGAUUUUCUCGAUAGACAAAAGCUAUUUUCUGCUGUUCAUCAUCUUAAAAAAUCUAGAGCAAAUUUUAGUGUCAAAAAUUUGCUAUCGUGACUUUGAAUGUGAUCAAAACUUGCCUCCAAGAUCCUUCCAAAACCAGUAACAUACCCAAGCCCUGCAUGGUUGGACACCCAGUUAUUAGCGCGCAGGGGCAUCAAGGAGAAGUCCACCGGCCAUGUGAUGAAGUGUUGUAAUUCUUUUACUAGAAUAAAAGGUUCACAGCAAAACACUCUACUCUGAUGAUCUUUUUACUCAUUUUUUUUUCACCUAUGUUUGCAUAUAUCUGCAGGAUUUUACUGGGCAGCGUAUCGAACUAUGUUCUGACAAAUGCAUCAUGCCCUGUGACUAUUGUCAAGCAUAACUAAGACCCGUCGAUCUCGGCCAUCAGAAAUUUCAAUCCUUUGAUGAGCUUACUUUAAAACUGCCUUUGUACUCAAAACUGGUACUUGAAGCUAUUGAUGUUGAAAGCUAAGAGUGGUCCCUGAAUGCAUGACUUUUUCAGCUUGGUGUGGUAAUAUUUAAGUGUAAUAAAUUUUGGACCAUUGGAUGCUAAAUGUUUUUCUUGUCCGUACCUUCGCUGUUUCCGUAGUUUCUGGUCUUCCUUUGGAAGUGUUGCACACUGGUUCAUAUUUGCUAGGGAUUAGAUCAGAUUUAUUGAAUAUGAUCAAAUUUCAUUUGUGAAUAGUCUUCAGAUUCAAUAAAUCUAUUGGUCUAUCUCGAAACUAGCUCUAUUCAUGACGUUGCCCUUUUUUCUUUUUUCUCUUUCUCUUCCGCUCUUUAUGGCUUCUAUCUUGCAUGUACUUUGUUUAAUUUUUGCUAUAGCUAGUAUUUAUGUUCCGCCUAACUUAGGUUGUUUGUAUUUCAGAAUAACUACGCACAUUCAAUAACCAAGUAUUGUUUUGUUAGCUGUGGGAGCCAUUAUUCCUUAUGGACCGGUCAUGUAGUUGCUGCACUUGUUAUGUUUCAUUCAAAGAACAGUGGAUUGUGAUGGAAAAUGGGCUGUGACUAGCAAUUUUGUUAGGCUGUACUUGUUCUGGCCAUAUUUUCCAUGUUAAACAAAUUGUGGAUUGUUGUGUUUAGGAUUUGGGGGAUUUUCCUUCUCUGGUUUCAUAAAAGUGCAGAGCAAUUACUUGUAUUUCGGUGGAAGAGUUUAACAAAUCAAGAACUAGCGUGCAAAAAUUUUCUGGGCAUUGUCCCCAAACAAUUACCCAAACAAGUUGUUUGGCAAUUGUUUGGGAUGAUGCCGAUGGGCACUGCACGGUCGCAACCCUCGGGAACCCCAAAAAAAAAUAAAAUAAAUUGUGAGCUCUGUUUUUAGAGAGAGAGAGAGAGAGAUGGUGGAGGGGAGAGGAGGGCGAGGAUGGGCGCGCUUGCCACACGGUGCCCAUCCGCAUACACCCCAAACUUUUUAGUUUGGGGAGGAUGGCUAUACAAUUUUUGCCCCAUUAAAGCCUUGUAAUAAUAAAAAAAAUUAAUAGUAAUCGAUAUGAAGUUUAGAUAUGCAACUUUUAAUUCUACGUCUAGUACAAAUCGAAAGCCCUUUCGUUAUCUCUAGUCUGUACGCAGGUAAAGUGUUGAACAAGAGUGCAUGUGGAGUGUCGGACACGUUCCGUAAACGGAGCAUGUUGUAGGUUGCAGCUCACGGUGGAUAUGAGAGUUCACGCUACGGAAACACGAUUCAAUCAAACGACGGUGGAGGGAGGAUCACACGCUUCUCCGCACGCGCCAGCGCCGUACGAUCGAUGAUACCCCUCUCUCUCCUUAGCCCUCUCCAACUUUACUAAGGGACUGUUUGGUUGGAUGUAGUUGCAGAAACAGUGUAGUUGGAAAUACAUGCAGUUGCAAAUGCUGCAGUUGUAACUAAACCUAGUCUGUUUGAUUUUACGCAGUUGCAAUUGCUGCAGUUACAUUUCUUCUGUUUGGUAAUAUGAAGCUGAUAGUUGUAUUUGUAAAUUUUGUCACCUUUUCAGAUAGAGUAGUGAGAUUACCUUCACUAAACAUAAAAUAAUUAUAUAAGUUUAUUAAUCAUUUAAAUUUACUAUUUAUAAAUAAAUAAGUAGAUAUAUAUAACAUUCUUCAACUUAUUAAUCGACACAUUUAAAAUUUUUAAUUUAUUUAAUUUUAAUAUGUAAAUCAAACUUUAAAAUUUAAACGAUUCUCUCAUUUUUUUUAUCAAAUUUAAUAAUUAUAAUUAAUUAAAACUUAUUAAAUUAACAUUCACGAUCACAUCCUAUAAAAAUUUUUUUAAAAAACUAUAUUUAUAUUUUAAAUAAAAUAAAUUUAAAAAAUUUAAUUUUUUGCACAAAACUUGUAUUGUCUAAAAAAUUUUAUUAGUAUGAGUUUAUUUACAAAUAUUUUUAUUUACCUAUAUACAUAUAUUAUUUAUUUAUUUAGCUAUUUAUUUAUUUAUUUAUUAUUGUUAAUUUGUGGGUGAUCCUAUCCCUCACCAACUGCUGCAGUUGAAACUACGACCAAUUUAGAUGUAGUUUCAACUACAGCAUUUGAACCUUCUUGUGUAGUUGAAACUGCAGCAGUUGAACUCAACUACACUAAACCAAAUGAAGAAAUUGAGACUGCAUGUAUUUGCAACUGCAGUAACAGCCCCUAAUAGGGAGGAGGGACUAUCCCUCGCGAGUCGUGACAAACCCCCCCCAGAAACAAGAGAAGCUCCAAAAUAAUACUCCACCGACCACCAACAAGGCAACAGCACCCCUACCCACCCCCGUUUUCGAUCUUCGGCAUCUGAUCUCCUUCCCCACACCAGAUCAGAUCCAUGGACGAAGGCGACGACGACCACCACCAAACCCUUGAAAACGGCGGAGGAGGAGGCACGAGCAUCCACAUAACGGCGCUGGACGGCGUCGUCAACGUGAACUCGCUCUUCACCCUGGCGGCGUUCGUGGGGCUGGCGUGGAACCCCUCGGCCGGGGCCACCCCGGGCGCCGCCCCCUGCGACGUCGACUUCGGGAAGCUCGAGUCCGACCUCGUCUCCUUCCACGUCCUCGCCUUCGCCUGCUUCCUCUUCUCCAGCCUCGUCGCCCUCUGCCUCAAGCAGGCCAUCCGCGCCCACCACCCCCGCCGCCGCAGCCGCCACGCGGGCGCCGCGCGGGUCGACCGCGCGGCGCUGCGCGGCGGCAUCAUCGCGUGCGCCGCGGGCUCGGUGUUCGGGUGCGGCUUCCUCAUGCUGGCGCUCGUCAACCUCGUCCAGAUCAAGCUCGGCAGGAUCGGCGCCGCCGUCGCCCCGCUCGUCACCCUCGUCCCCGCCGCCAUGCUCGUCUACACCGCCAUCGUCCUCUACGCCUUCACUCGCUGACCCCCCCCACCUCUUUCACUCUUCAGAUCCCCAAUAUAUACCUCGAUGCUUUUAUUACAGUUUUAUCCAUCUCUACUUUGUAGUCUGAGAGGCUUUCCGAUAGAUGUACGAUUAUUAUUUGUCGAUGCGGAACAUUAUUGGUGCACAAAUUUGCCACCCAUUUUUCUGAGGGUAUUAAUUUGAUCCGACAUCUAUGGUCUUGGACCCACACGAUCGAUGUGUGACUCAUCAUUUCUAAUUUUCGAAUUUGCAUCAUCACUUGUUAUUAUUGUAUUUUUAGAGUAAAAGAAGGGUAAACAUAGCAUUCCUGUGACCAUGCUUGGAACAACUCAUGCAUAGUUGCUGAAGAACUCACCGAUUUUCCUCGAACAACUCAUGAAUAGCUGCUGAAGAGCUGAAAUGAGCUUUUGCACUCCGCUACUUAACACUCCAUAACUAGCAUCUCUCUAACUAUUACGGCCAUAGCCUAAAAGGGCACAAACCAACAAAGAAGAAGGGUAGAAGGCUACCUUACACAUCUCGUCCACAAAUUAUAAGGUCCGUGACAUUUUGAUCCUCAAACUUAAUUUGUUGUAAUUUUUAUCUCGAACUUUCUAAACUGUUACAAUCAAUCAAAUCUCCCGAUCCAAUUUAGUUGGCUAAAUAUUGAUAUAUCGAUAAUAAAAAAGUGAUGUAGCAGUAUUUCAAUUAAUGAUAAGAUAUUACAUUACCUCCGUAAAGACAAUAGGUCUACAUUUAACCAAUUACAUUAAAUUGCAACAUUAUAUAAAAUUCAAACAAAAAUUAUAAUAAGUUAAUAUUUGAAAACCAAAGUACCAUACGCUUUAUAGUCUGAGGACUAAAAGUAUAAUUUGGCCAAAAUAAUCUUGAACGCCUGAACAAGAAAGAAAACAAGCAUAUUUCUAUACAAUACCUUACAGAUAGCGACAGAUAACAAACAAGCAGAACAUUGCGUCCACUCUUUCAUUGUAAGUAGAAGAUAAGUUCUAAUGGUGUGCUCACUAGCUCGCUAGUCACCUCUAAACCGAAAAAGUAUAAAACCAAACCUAACUUUAUAGUUUCUAAAGAGCAUCUAUAUAACAGCAACAGAAGCUUAUUAAAAAAGUCUGCUGCCUCCAAUUAGUAUGGAUAGUCAUUGAUAUUUGCUAGUCUAAGCCUAAAAGUAGACCAACAAAAUACACCGUUCGGUAAAGCCGAUGCACCGAAAAGGUUGCCUCUACUCGCGAACAGAUGUCUGCUUCCAUAGUUCUUGGAUAUUUUUGCAGCAGCUUUAGUUUUUAUGCUUCCUAAGUAGUAAGUACCUGUCGUCAAUAGCAAAAUAGUUGUGAGAAAACUAAAUAAUUAAAGUAAUUAAGCUAAGAUAGAUAACAAACAUAAAAGAAACACAAUACAAUAAUAAUAAGAAUCAAAUUAGUUGUGAGAGGAAACAGAAAAAAUACUAAAAAAAAUGAGCAUAUUGCAGUGCGUUUGAAUAGAUUAUAGUUAUCUCAGAGUGCAGCUAAAUACGUCUCUAUAUAUUGAAGAAUAUUUCAGUAGGGACAAUUAGACCCAAUUUUUAGAAUUGAAGAGAAACAUUAUUGUACAUUCAAGAUAUAAUUCAAUGAUGGCUCCUUGAGAUGUGGACAAACUCAUAAAAUUAAAUGAUGACUCCUUGAGACGUUGACAAACUCACAACAGAGUUAGAAAAAGUUAAAGAGUUAAAAAACUUUGCAGUACCUUCUUACAUCUAAAAGUAGAGCACACCAAUCCUUAUAUUUCCCUUAGUAGUAGAGGGAACCUAAAAAAUAAAAAAUAAAAAAUGGAUGAGUUAUUAUUUUAUUCCUCUAUGAUAUAUGUUAUCGUAAUAACUAAAUACUCUUUUGGACUAAGCUAUACCUUGCCACCAGUUCCCUCUAGUAGCUGCCGAUUCAUCAUCCUCAUCAUUUUUGUACUGAUGAUUAACAACAAAUAAUAAUAAUUAAAAAAAGCAAUGUUAGAUUGGUGAAUUUCUAGCUUUGCAGCAAAUUUCAUUGAUAGUUAUGAAUCUUCUCAAAAAUAAUAGAGCCACUAGUUGUCUAUUUUUCUUUUGCAAGCGCUUACGCUUUUAGAAGAAUCAGUGGCAUGCUUGGAUGGAGCGCUACCAUAGAAAUCUCGGCCGCCGUAAUGCACAGAGGACCCAAAGUAAGGCGACUCAGUCGACUCAGUCGAAUAAGCGGGUUUCCCAUCCUUACUAUAUGUGGCCUGAUUCUUGUUUGGACUGCCCUGAGAUUUACCUUCUGGGAAAUACAUGUUAAGCACAGUUAAAGUUAGUUGUUAUUUAUUAUCUAUAAUCAUAGUAGCAUUUAAUACUAAAAAAAAAGUGUCGAGAAAAUGUUUGGUAGUUAUAUAUUGAUUCAGAAAUGUAAUUUAAUUCAUCAAAAAGUGGACAUGUCAUAUGUGUUAAUGCCAAAAACUUGGUUUCCAUCUUAAUAUGAAGCCAUUCGGUUAUGCAUGUCAGGAAUGUUCGCAAUGAAAGAUUUCUUACUCGAAAUAGAUUGUAAAUACCAAGUUUGCAUUGGUGUCAUGCAUGUCUAUUAUCUGAGGUUUACUUUGUUAUGAUAUGUUUAUUUUAGCAAAACCUUACCUAAGUAAAGGGAACCAACAUCCGCCAUAAACAAAAACUUAAAUCUAGGUAUGAAAGAAGAAACUAAGAUAUGCAUGAUGUUCUCAAGAAAUGAGCUCAUUAUUCUCAUUCGACUUUAGUCGCAGAGAAAUAAAAGAGCAAGUUUUUACAAAGAAAUCUUGAAUAUGACUGAAUCCAGCUCAAGCAAUUGUUGCACAUCUCUAAGCAAAACAUUUCCAAUGCCCUACAUGACAUAAAAGCCUAAAUAAUUAAACAAACAUCCAAUUGAAUCCGAUAAUAUAACAACAGCUACUCGUAAUGCUAGGAGAGUUCAAUCAAAGAUGCUGAAGUCGCGCACCAUGAGAAUUCCCAUUCUGACCCUCAGCUCUCUGCUUGUUCAAUGCCCAGUACAAGUCAGAAUGUGCUGCAUCCUUGCCCAUCACCUAACAUUCAGAUAACAUGUUAUCAUCAUAAUAUUUGACUUUGCAGUUCCAAACUCAGAUAAAAUCAAGAGCAAAGAACAAAAAAGCAAAACUAGCAUAAAGAGUUAGAUACUGGCAAAGUAUCCAAUCGGCGUAUUUGGCUCUGCUCAAGGAUACAGUGCUAGUGCUAGUGCUCUCCGAUGAAGUGUUAUCUAAGCAGUAAUUUUAAGAGUAGCACGGUAGAAAUUUUUUUUUUCAAGUAUAAUUAAAAUUAUUAAAUUAAAUAUUCUAUUUUAGGUCAUCUAUCGUAUUUCUGCUUUCUGCUGCUGUAAAAGCUGACGCUAUAUGAGAAGCAGAAGCAGAGGAAGAGGCAGAGGCAGAAACAUCAAAUACACAACCACAUCAAGCAAAGCAAGAAUCAAACCCCCAAAUCAUAGAAACAUCAACGCAUCACCAAAUACAAAACCCUUUAAAUGAGGGGGAAGGGGAAAAAAAGAAAAAGAAAAAAAGAAAACCCAAUUUGAACCAAUCCCCCAAAACCACCCAAACAACUCCAACAUGCAACUCAACUCGACAAAAUUAACAAUCCAAAAUAAGAAGAAGCACAUACCGCAGAGGCGGGGGGGAACACACUGCUAAAGUACCCACCAGACGACGACGACGACGACGACGACGACGACGACGAGCCCUUCCCCCCAUCUUUGCGCCCGAAGAGCUCGUCGGCGAUCGAAGAUGAAGAUGAAGAUGAAGGAGAAGAAGAGGGUUUCUUACCUUCCAUCGAUUCCCCCCACACAAACGCACAAUCUCUCUCGCGCGCGCGCACACACACGCACAAUCUCUCUCGCAACAAAGCCCAAAAGAGUAGAGAGAUUAAGGAGAAGGGGAGAGAGAGAGAGAGAGGAAGAAGGGGUAGGAGUUAUAGCGAUGAGGGUGCGUCGGCGCUGCUGCUGCUGUUGUUGUUUGCGUUGCCCUGUGUCGUCGUUCUCGCAACCCAUGUGCCCGCUUUUAAAGACCUUCGCUCCCUAUUUUCUUUUUUUUAAAAAAUAAUAAUUAUUCAAAAAAAUUAGAAGGGGAAAAUAAAAUUCUUAUUGCCGUUAAUUCUCUCAGUAUUCUCUUUUUUUAAUUUUCUUUUUCCUCCUCCUAAGUCUCAGUUGGGUAUUCCUCCACGCCAUCCGAAUCCCAGUUUCCAUUAAUGAACACUCACUCACCCUCUCUCCCUCUCCACCUCUCGAGUUGCUUGAUUUUUUCCUUUUUUGACCAUUUAUAUUUUAAAAAUAAAAAAAAUUAUUAUGGAGAUUCCUCAAACUGUUAAAGAUAUUUUGAAAUAUAUCUAAAUUAAUAAUUUUAGAGCGUCCAAUCGUCGUUUCCUUAAAUUUGACAACUUUAAUUAAUUUUACUAAAUAAUUACUAACUAAUGAUAAAUAGAACUAUUAAAUAUCAUAAAGUACUUAAUUAGAUAGGGUUGAAUAUAGAGUUUAAUAUAUAAAUGGUAUAAUUCUUUGGUAAUUAUUUUAUAUUAUCAGCACGGCAUCACAACAAAUUAUUAUGGUGUUAAAACACGAGGUCUCGGAUUCGAAAAUUAUAUAAAUUCGAUAGUCAUGAAUUUGAAUCAAACUUCUAAUAUUUUUUGUUUUAUUUUAAUCCAUAUUUUGAAUCUAUUGAAAAGUAGGUUUAUAUAAUUUAGAGAAUUUUUAAGAAAUCGCCUAUAAAAUGUUUAAUGAUUUUUAUUUUUUAUUGAGCAAGAUUACUGUGCUAUUAGGAGCUCAUCCUUUCUAUUUCUAAGUUUUUAAUUAUUCAUCAAUUUUGAUGGAUGGUUAGGAUGAGAGAGAAAAAAAAUUUGAGAAAAAAUUAAGGAGUUAAGCUAGAAUACUCUCAAAAGUACCAUGAAGGUGAUGCUUUUGAGUUUUAGCCAUUGGAUAGAGAGAUGUGAGGUUGAGAUGAUGAUGAUGAUGGUUGGUGGUGGUAGGUGUAAUAUUGUUUGAUCAAAAAGCUAUUAGUAAUCAAGGAGUAAAUCCAAGGGCCAGAAACUUAGAAGCACAAAGGGAUUGGUGCUUUUAAAAAUAUUCUAGCUCAAUUCAAAAAUUAAGUAUCUCAAAUUUUUUUUUUAAAAUUUAUUUUCAAUUUCUUUUUUCUCUCUCAUCUUAAUCACCUAUUAAAAUUAAUAAAUAGUUAAAAUUUAAACCAAUUGUCCUUAACGCAAGUGGCAAAAAGACUUGAUGGUUAGUAUCCGAAAUCCAAGUUCGAAUACUAGUUGAUUUAUAUUUCAAGCUAAAUUUAUUUUUAAAUAAAAUAAACGAAGCGAAUAGUAUGCUAUUUUUUUCUAAAAAAGGUAAAAUUUAAGAAUUUAUAGCUCUACUUUUUUUUUUCAUCUCAUGAUAUGGUAGCGGUGGCUGGGGGAAGCGGAUAAGCGCCACGUGGGGCCAUCGGGCAUCCGUGAGGGGGUGUGGGCCCGCAGCCACUUGCCGCCGACGCAGGUGACACGUGUGAUAGUGGAUAAUAAACGGCCACAACUACCCCAUCCCAUCCCCAUAUGACCAUAUCAUAUCUCUCUCUCUCUCUUUCUCGAUUUUUUAUUAUUAUUAUAAUUGACUCCCUGUGCGUGCGCCUACCACCGCCCACACCCGCGCACAUGUGGCGCCCCAUCCCCAACCACUUAUUAUCCCCUCCGUUUUAGUUAUCCGUAUAAAAAUUGUACAAAUGCCCCCUCAACUACAGGCCGUUCUCAAAAGAACCCUCAGCUUUAUUAUUAUUGUAGUAAAAUUCAAUUUGCUCAUAAGCGGUUUAGCUUAUUUGUAUUUUGCCGUCUUAUGAUAUAAGAGUUACAUUUAAUUAUUCUGUUGUUUAUUUUAUUUUUAUUUUAUCAUUCUACGAUUAAAAAAAUUACACUUAACUUAUAUAUGGUCGUUAAAAAAUGGUAGUUUAGCAAAUUUUUUUUUUUAGAGAAAAUAUAUAGAAAUAAAAUUAUGGGAUAGUUAAAUUUAAAAUUUUCAAACCACACAAGCCAAAGAUAAAAUUAGCUAAUCUUAAGAGGGACAGAUCGAAUUUUACCCUUGUAAUUACUAACGUCUUUCAACCUUUGAUUUCCUUUGAUAUUUGAUUAUUAUAUCCAAAAAAUAAAGAAAUUAUCAAAUUUAAUAAUUUUAAUAAUUGCUUUCUGGUGAGUAAAAACAAAAAUUAGGGCUUGGUUUGGUACAUGAACAUUAUCUGAUUUACUAGCUAUAUAUUUUUCUAUUAAGUUAUUUAAAACGACACCAGUUAUUUGAUGGAGAUUAUGACUUGAUGCUUAUCAUAACAUACUAUAUUUGACCUCCAAAUCAUUCUUUCCGGAAAAAAAAAAUUAUAGAAAAUGUGGCAUGUAGUAUUCUAAGAAACCACAACACACGAGACCUUACAGGGGUCUAAUAAUUAUAGUAAACUCUUACACGACAACCACAAACUUUUUUAAUAAUACACAAGUUAUUACUUAAUAUUCUGAUAUCAAAACAUUUUUUUUUAAAUGGCUGGUAGAUAAUAAGCUUACUAGAUUAAGAAUAUUAAUUUAGCCAACUAUAAAAAUAUAAAUAAGAAAAAGUAGAAGUUAGUAGGGCACCAAUUUAAAAUAUAAUACUAAUAGAAUGACCGGAAGGGGUUUAGGUUGGAAUCUGGGCGAUGAUGUGAGGUACACAUGAGAUAAGUGGAUGACAAGGAUAGUGAUCAGUCUGUUGGAAACAGAAUGACGGGACUGCUAGCGAGUUGGUGGGUCAUCUAGUCUAUAAAGAAUGCCGUUAUUUUUAGGUUGGUUAAUACUGGUCCUUUACUAGUUGUCAACUGAUCAGAAGUUUGAUGCAUUAGUAGGAGGAGAGCAGCUCGCUUAAACGAGUGUACUCUAGCUCAUGAAUUUAUUUAUUUAUUUUUUUUGUUUUGAUCUGGUUCGGAGGCCUCUUACCUCAUUUUUGCAGCUUAAUUUAUUUCUUUAAUAAAAAAAGUAGAAAACGUGCUAUAUCUCUCUUAAAAAAAAUUAAUAACAAAAAUAAAGUUGCGGUACUUUUUCAAAAUGGCCUACAAUAGUGGGUGAUAAUAUAUUUUCUACUUUUUAUCGUUCCCCUCUUUCUUAAUUUAUUAUCGGAAUAUCCUAUCCGCCGUGUAGAUAUAGGUAUAGGACCUCUUUUUUACCACGAGGGCGCGACAUUAAUUCCCCCUACUGGACUCAACCCAAGUGUGGAAAUUCCGUGGGCGUUUUCCACCAUGCAUGCUCGUCACGGCAUUACCUUGUGUCCAAAAGUGGCAUGUAGAAAUUUGUGUAGGGAAACAGAUAACUACAGAGAUUUAGAAGUUACUUUAGUAACGGGACAACCUUAUAUAUACCGGGCUAUGCAUGCAUGAAUCAUAUGACUCUGUGCAAAAGAUCCAAAAGAAACUAAAGAGGAUUGGGGGAUCGAGUUGGAGGAUAGAGAAGCAUCAGAUAGUGAUGAGGACAAUCAACAAUCCUUAGCUAGAGGUGCCCACUAAGAGGGGGCCUACCACGUGGCAACGAGAGUGCCUUUCGAAGCGUCGCCGCGUUGGCGAAGUGUCGGAGAGCUUCUGCCACGGGGCGUGACACUUGGCACUCGGACAAUAGAUUAAGAUGUCGAUAAGUCCUAUGUUUUGUCGUCGGCGAAGAAUUUCGAGGUGCUUAAUUUUGUGCGUAGAGUUUGCAUGGUAUUGUGUAGACGACACGUACGUAGCAAAAAUUGCAUCAGCUGUUAUGAUUUAUGCAUGGAUUAGUCCACCACUCGAUUUGGCUCGUUUUGAGUAAUUGACUCUAGUAAACUAGCACACAAGAGUUUGAAAGUACGUCAUCAAUACUUGAUGUUGAUAUUGAUGUGUUAGUCUUAGUUGAGUUCAACCUUUUUUUUCAUUUGUACAUCUACUUAAAUUGAGGGACAAACGAACGUACACACGUACAAGAGCACGUUAAUAAGUUACCAUCGACUUUAAAAUAGAUGAGCUCGAUCUAUAAAGAGGUAAUUAGCUUUAGUACUCACACACCCUGGUUUACAUUGGAAACUAUCAUUUUGGAAGAAAUAUUCAUGCAUAGAUACUUUGGCCUAUUAAUUUGUUACUCUAAAUUAAAGUUAAAAAUAAUGUGAUCAUACAUUAGAGCUAGCUAGCUUGUACUUAAAAAUUAUGGAGUACUAACAAAUAACUCUGUGUAGCAAAUUUAGAGGUUGUUCUUUCUUUCCUUUUCAAGCACAUUAAAUUAUGUUCGAGUUUAUUGUAUAUGUAGAACACGCACGGAAUAGUAUUCUAUUCCGUGAUGGAAGAUGUAUUUGGCAUAAUAAUCUCACACGCCUUAUGAGGGGGAAGUACAAAGCAUCAACUUGAUCAAUUUGCUUUGCUAAUAUUGACUUUAGAUGCGGCAUGCAUCAAUUUGCUCUUUUAAACUGCACAAUUUGCCAUUUGAAAUUCUCUCCACAUGCUGUUUGACAAUUUGUAGAAGUAUAUAUAUAAUGAAAAUGAAACUUUUCCACGGCUUUUUCUCAAGUGAUCGAAGAACAAAUUAGAAGCCUCUUUCCACGAAGUUAAGCCCUCGUUGAAGUCAAAUUGCGAUGCUCCCACCACCCAAAUAUUUAGAUAUGCAAUGCAUAAUCACGUGGCAACUUGGGCACGUACAAGGUGCGAUUCUAGAGCCCCCCCCAAGAACAAUACCACAAUCGAGUAAAAUGUAUUGAUAUUCUCUGUACGAUCCAUUAUUAUUGCAAGUGGUUCUUAUACUUUUUAUUUGAGCAUUUUAUUUGCUAAAUUUUUGCACAUACUACACCUUUAAUUUUCAAUUGUUGAAAAAUUUAGUGCCCAUUUUGUAGAAUACCAUCUCACAUGCUUUUAAAAACUAAAGUAUAGGACAUAUGGAAGUUCAGAAAAAGAUUUACAAUAUCAAAUUUGUACAGGGACUAUCCGUACAUUUUAUCCUAUCGUAUCCUAUCUGAUGCUUCAACUUGUGCAUUAUAUGGUCAAACGAAUGCUGACUUAGUGAACUAUAAGAUUUUGUUCUUUGAUCUUUCUCACUCUCUCUAGAUCCAUCUCUCUCUCUCUCUCUCUCAUAUAUCCUGGACAUCAUCCUUAUCUCAAAUCCUUAGAUUCUACAAAGGCCCAUGUAGAGGAAUCAUUAUCCAAUUUGGACCACAAAAGGGAUCAUAGUAUUGCUCUAGUGAGAGAAAGAUCCGAUUUGCUUGGUCACACAAGUGCAGGAUAUCUUUUUUCUUUUUCUUUCUUUUUUUCCCGAGUGAGACUAUCAGUUGAUCCAUUCCACCAAAAUCUGAGGAGAUAAAACCUAAAACAUAAUAUAUAUAUAUAUAUAUAUAUAUAUAUAUAUAUAUAUGUGUGUGUGUGUUAUGUGUGUGUAUAUAUAUAUAUAUAUAUAUAUAUAUGUAUGUAUAUAUAUAUAUAUAUAUGUAUAGAGAGAGAGAGAAUUAAAAAAGGGAGUAAAUAAGUAAUGUUCAUGAAAAUUUACACGUCACUCGCUGAAGUGCCAUAGGAAGUUGACAAAAGUAGGCGAGGGAAUGGAACCAAUCACAUGAAUCAGUUGGGCCCAACUGUCGACAUAUUUGGCGACAUGUGCUAGUGUUAAAUAGGGAUCGGGAUAUUUUGCUCCAGUAAUGUUAUUAAUAUAUCAAAAUAUAUUAAAAAAAUAUAGUUUAUCAGUUUAAACAUCUACUAUUUAGUGGAUGGUAGGUAAUUAAAUAUGAAAGAAAAAUACUCUGCUCACAGCAGCUUAUCUAAACAUAUAUACAAUGAUUUCACCUGUUCCACUAGGAGUCCUGGUGGAUGCAUGGGACGGUCCAUUGUGAAUUGUAUCUGAUUUUUAAAUUGUAAAAAUGUGAAUACAGUGUUACGUAUAUAAGCUAACGCAGCAGUCAUUGAGAAGCAAAAAUAUCAUAUAGGAUCUCUUUAAUGAAGAUUAUGCAUGCAUGCAUACAACUAGAUAUAUGCUCUUUCGUUCAAUUAAUAUUUUAAUCCAAACUGUCAAACCAAUUUGUUUGACGAGAUAUUUUUCAGAUUUAGAAAAUACUUGUUUUUUUUUUUUGAUGAUUAGUAUUAAAAUUACUCGCUUGGUAAGAGGUAUCCAUAAUCCAAACUCGUCUAGUAUGCCUUCUAUACAUAGACAUCAUCAUUAAUGAAAUAAUGAGCCCGUCAUGCACUACUUGCAACUUAAUUACAUUACCAACUCAUCAACAAUAUUUUGAAAUACGCUUCAGGAGCAGAUGUAGUAACACUAUUGUUGAUUAGGGAAGAAAAUCGAGCUGGGGCCUCUCGUUGCACUGUAGGCUGCGUUUGGUACGGGUAUAAAUAAGAAUUGUUUAUUUUGAGAAAUAGGUACAAAUUUAGGUACAAGUAGAUAUUAAGACCAAUUUUGCAUUUGAAUAAAAAUUGUAUUAUUUUUAGAAAUAAGAUAAAUAGCGUUUGAAUGGUUAGAUUGGAACAAAAAAAAUAAGGGUUAUAAUUUUAAAUUAAAUUAUUUUACUUAAUUAAUUAACAUCAAAUAUUACUUAAAAAUAAAUUAAUAAAUUAAUAAAUUUAUUAGUUAUGAAUAUUGUAUAAGAUAAUAAAAAUAUAUUAAUUAAUUAAUUGAAUAUAAAAAAUAAUUUAUCUUUUUAAUUAGUUAGUAAAUUAUUUUAGCUAGAUAACUAGUAAAAAAAAAUUAAUUAGAUUAAUAGAAAUCUUAAUGGUUGAUCAAUAUAAAUAUUACUUUAUGGAUAAAUACAUUAAAUUAUUAAUAAUUAAUUAUAAAUAAUAAAUUAAUAAUUUUUUUAUUAUUUAAGUAAUAAUUAAUAAUUUAAAUAUAUUAAUUAGAUUAAUUAAUGAUUUAAUACUAUAAUUAAAAUUAAAUUUAGACUCUAAUUAACUUUGUUCCUAUCUGAAAACAAGCUUUUGUUCCAGAAAAAAUGGUGGAACAGCAGUUCCAGUUUUAUACCUAACUUAUUUUAGAAAUUUAAAGACUGCAUUCUCGGGUACCAAACGCAGCGUUCUGGAAUAAAGAAGGGAAUAAGUGUUAUUUUCGAACCAAACACUGCUGUAGGGUCGUGCAUGUGUAUACAAUGUGCCUGAUGCUGCCCAUACAACGGAUAGCUCUCUUAUCUUAAUUUUUCUCUGUUGCUGUCAUGGGACUUCUUCCAGAUGAGAUGGUGGCGUGGCAUGGAGAUGUCUACGUACUGGUUGAACAAUUUAGGAGCUUAUUUUAAACACUGAUUUGGUCUAUUUUCUAUUUAAUUUAAACUGUUUUUAUAUAUACUCUGUAGUAAGAGCUGGACACUUGUAAAGAGACGGAAAAGGAGAAAGAGAUUUUUUUUCAGAGUUUGAAACUGAAAUGAGUUUCGAGACAUAAUAUAUAUAUAUAUAUAUAUAUAUAUAUAUAUAUAUAGAGCUAGGCUACUAUACUAUCGGUAGCACGGAGCGCUCCGUGCUACCAAGUUAUUUUCGAUGAUGUGGCUUCCAAAUCGACGAUCGGCUCCGUUAGAGUUAAUCUACACUAUUGAAAGUAUUUAGAAACUAAAUUUCAUAAUUUUUCGAUAUCAUUUACCUAUCAAACAAGUAGUCUAAAAUUGAACGGCUGAAAAUAAAAAUCUCAUGAAAAAUGAUGAUAAAAGAUUUAAAUUCAAGAUCAGAUAUACUGAUCUUACUCUAAAUAGUGAAAAGAAUUUUCUAUAAAAUUUUCAUCGCAUUUGGAUUGUUUUACACCGUUAAACUCACAAACACACCACAUCGGCCAUUAAAAUUGUCAAUUUUGAGAUCUUUUGAUCACUAGUCAAAUGAUGUCGAAAAAAUUUGAAAUUUAGUUUCCAAAUACUUUCAAUAGUGUAGAUCAAGUCUAACGGAGCCGAUCGUCGAUUUGGAAGCCGCAUCAUCGAAAACAACUUGGUAGCACGGAGCGCUCCGUGCUACCGAUAGCAUAGUAGCCGGACUCUAUAUAUAUAGAUAUAUAUAAAAUUUAGCUAGAAUAUUUUUAGAAGCACCAUCUCUUUGGUGCUUCAAACUUUUUAGCUCUUGGAUUUACUCCUUGAUUAUUAAUAGUUUUUGGAUUAAAUACUAUUCCACCUAUCACCACUUAUUACCAUUAUUCCAAUCUUACAUUUCUUCAUCCAAAAGCUAGAAACUCAAAAGCAACACCACUUUGGUGCUUUUGGAAGUAUUCUACCUCAACUCUCUCUCUCUCUUUCUCUCUCUCUCUCUAUAUAUAUAUAGAGAGAGAGCAUGGCUGCUGUGCUCUCAGGAGCACGGAGGCCUCCGUGCUCCUGAGCCGUUUUCGAUGAUGGAAUUUUCGAAUCGACGAUCGGCUCCGUUAGACUUGAUCUAGCGCAUUUGAAGUUUUUAGAAAAUAAUUUUUGCGAUUUUUCGAUAUCAUUUACCUAGUGAUCGAAAGGAUUCAAAAUUCAUAAUUUUUAAUGGUUGAUAUCUGCCGUUUUAAAGUUUAACGGUGUAGAAGUAUUUAAAUCACAUGAAAUUUUGAUAGAAAAUUCUUUAUACUAUCUAAAAUAUGAUCUAUAUUUCUUAUCGAAAAUUUUAGUGCUAUAUCACCACUUUUUAUAGGAUUUUUAUUUUCAGCCGUUAAAAAUUAUUGAUUUUAAAUCCUUUCGAUUGCCAGGUAAAUAAUAUCGAAAAAUCGCAAAAAUUAUUUUCUAGAAACUUUAAAUACGGUAGAUCAAGUUUAACGGAGCCGAUCGUCGAUUCGAAAACUCCAUCAUCGAAAACGGCUCAGGAGCACGGAAGCCUCCGUGCUCCUGAGAGCACAGCAGCCCUGCUCUAUAUAUAUAUAUAGUAGGGCUACUAUACUUUUAUGAGUAUACAGUCAUUUGUACUUAUAAGUUAUUUUCGAUGUUGGGGCUUCUGAAUCGACGAUCCACACCGUUAAACAUGAUCUAGAGUAUUUGAAACUUUUAGAAAAUAAAUUUCAUAAUUUUUUGAAAUCAUUAUAAAGUCCAUCAAGCGGAUAUAAAAUGAACGGUCAAAAUUGAACGACGUCCUAAAAAUGGAUGAUCGGAUCCUUCAAUUUAAGAUCGGGAUUAUUGAUUUUUAUUUAGGUAAUGAAUAGAAUUUUCUAUCAAAAAUUCAAGUUAUUCCGAUUCUUUUACACCGUUAAACUAGCAAGUAUCACAUACUGGCCGUUAAAAAUUGUCAAUUUUGUGAGCUAUUGAUCGUAAGAUAAAUGAUUUCGAAAAAUUAUAAAAUUUGAUUUCCAGAAGUUUUAAAUGCUCUAGAUAAUGUUUAACGAUCUGAAACGUCAAUUCGGAAGCUCUAUCAUCGAAAACAACUUAUGAGUACGAAUGUGAUCGUACUCAUAAGAGUAUAGUAGCUGGACUAUAUAUAUAUAUAUAUAUAACUGUGCAAAAAUAUUAUUAAUAGUAUGAAAAUAGUUGAUAUUAUCUAUUUUCUAUUUUUAGAUAUCUAAGGUUUAGUGGGGAUGGUGAAAUAGUAACAAUUCAAGAGUGAAAAGUAAAUAAUAUCCACUCUUAAUAUGUACUAUUAGUAGUAUGGUAAUUCAACUCUCUCUCUCUCUCUCUCUCUCUAUAUAUAUAUAUAUGAGUUGGACUGGGCUACUAUUAGUAGCAAAAUUCAUUGUUGCUACCAGUUUUUUAGCCUUUGGAUCAACUCUUUUCAUUAUUUCUAAUCAUUGGAUUAAAUACUAUAACCCAGUAGGGAUCACUCAAUUCUAGAGGGACCACUCAACUCUAACUAACUAAUAUCAUCCUGAUCCCAUAAUUUUUCAUUCAAGGGUUAAAAACUUGAUAGCAAAAAAAGCGUUUUACUAUUAAUAGUAUUCCAGCCUAAUUCUAUACAUAUAUAUAUAUAUAUAUAUAUAUGUUAGUUAGUAAUAUUCUCAUUCGAGUUGCAUUAAGAAAUUAAUGUCUGAAAAAUUCUAAUUAUAUCUACUGAAACAGUAGCACAACUAAAACACCACUGGGGGAAAGAACUUAAUUUAACUAUACGUUAUCCUCACUACAUAGUAACUUUUUAAACUUGAGAAGUAGAUUACAAAUAUGUCAGCUACAAAAGAAAAAAAAAAAGAAAAAUCUAGAUUGUGCGACCCAAAUGCGUAGUCUAAAAAGACACUUUGGAGCACACAAAGAUAAAGCCCUACAAUAUUGAAGAUACAUUAUCUUGCAGCUUCAACAUGACACCCUUGUGGGAUCACGCAUGUGAGGAUAUCUAAAAUAAAUCUACUCAUACAAAUCUUUUAUAUUAUCAACUCAAAUCGCAGAAAAAGGAAUAUAUCUAUCUAUACUCAGCAGGAAGGGCCACGAGCAACAUGGACCUCAUUCUUCUAAUCUUCACAUACACUAUCGAUCGCCACUUUUGGCUGGAGAAGGAUCUUUUUGACUACAAUGUUUUAGGAUGAAGAUAAUCUUUAUCUUUUGGGCUUAUCUAUCUGAUCUGAUUAGAUAAAAGCCACUAAUAUAAUAAUGCUAAGAUAAGUCCUAAUAUUGUCAUGUCACUCUACAGGCUCAUAAUAAUGCUUCCCAUUCCCCACAGGCCCUUGUGAUAAGCCAGAACUAGAUCUUCUAAAUAUAGUAUAUAUUACAAUCUGAAGGGAGAAAGUAGGGGCUGCUGAUUCAUCAAUCUUAUUAAUGGAAAACAAAAGUGAUACUGCAAUCAAGGUGUGAAAAGAAUUUAGCUACAACACGCAUGGUGUGUUAUUGAGACUUCAAAAAGGAAAUCGAUUUGUUGCCUUUUCAUUGGCCAUAUAUAUCUGGUAACUAGUCAGCUAAAUCUAUGAGAUAAUGGAAAGAGCUGCUUAAUUUUGUUUUUCCUAGUCUUUUGAUGAAAUAUGAGACGAGUGAUUUACCAUACAAAUUAUUGAAAAAGUCUAGAGAAAAACAUAUAGGGGUAAAAAUAUACAUCAGUAUAUGACAAAUUGGUUAUCACCACUGUUUACGACAAUUGAUAGGUAAAUAGAUAAUUGCCCUCUAGGCGAAUGUGAUACGGAAUCGAGCCUCGCUUCGAGCCAGGAGUGUGCUCAUGUGGGUAUUAUACCUAAAAUAUCAAUUUGAUAGAAGAUGACUGGAAAUUAGUUUAACAAUAUUUACUUUUUACCGACCGUCCUUAGUGCAUGUGAUCAGGAAUUUAAUAGUUGGAAUCCAAGAUCUCAAGUUUAAAGCCCAAUACUGUCAUUAUAAUUGCCAGUACCACAUGAAAUGAAACUAUUAAUACUGACUUUAAAACAAAGAUAACUAUUAAUGCAACUAUUAAUGUGAUUAGUCUAGCUAGAUUGAGUACUUUAUAUUUUCAGUUAAAUUUAUUUCCAAAAAAAAGAAUAAAGUGGAUGACAACCGACCUUUCUCUCUGAGAAGAAAUUUUUUUUAAAAAAAACAUUAUCUGCUUCUCAUUAUGAUGUGUAAAGUAGAAAAUAUACUUUACACAUGUACUUGGGCCUGGAUCUUAGUUCAUCACUGUAUAGCCCAACAUUGCAACCCAGGUAUAAACAGGGACUUGCAUAAAAAAGGCCCCCGAGUCUUAAACAGGGAUGGCCCAUUUUGACCCCUCGGCCCAUAUAAUACAUCUCCUAUGUUUUAGCUAUUAAUUUUCAGAGAUCUUUGUUCAAAAUCAAAAUUCGUUUCAAAGAUUUGUCAACUGGGAAAUUAUAGAAUAUGUAUGUAUUUGCAUUAAUCGAAAUGAUUGUUUGGAUUUUCCAAUAGUUCGUUGCUCAAUCAAGUUCAAAAACUUCAAAUUAGAGUUUUAGCGCACGUGAGCUGUGCCCGGGUAAUUAUGUGGGCUGCGCUGGGCCAAUUAGACCAGAUUGGUACUAAUUUGUUGUGCCAUAUUUUCAUAUGGGCUUGGGCCGAGUUAUUUGGACCUUAUAAUGAUGCUUAAUUACACAUUAACACCAUAAUAAAUGAAUAAUUGCAUCGUUUCCUAGUCCACACUUAACAUUUUUACUUAAACACCAAGAAAAAAAAAAAACUAAUUGGAUCAAAGUUAAAGGAUUGAAAUGGAAAGUGACUGUUUUUGCCGACGUACUUUUGGAAGUUUCUAAAGUAUGAUCUGGCACCAUGCGUGCGGAACUUAAUAAGUGAUAGCUACACGUUGGAUAAUGAUUUAUUCACACUCAGCUGUAAUUAGGAACUAAGUCAUAAGUAAAUAGAAAUAAGCAACUGAUAAAAUUAUAGUAUAAAUGAAAGGAAUAAAAACUGUAGAUUUGUCGAAUUUGGGGCACGUGAAAAGCAACUAUUUGGUUACACGAGACAAUCAUUUUUCUUCAAAAGUUUAAAUUUUUAAAAACUAUACUAUUAAUAUUUCUAUUCAGUAUUUUUCUUAUGUUUAGACUUGAGACUUUUGAUAGGCUUAAGACGUGAACCUAAUUUAAAUAGAUAGAAAUUUUUUUUUUAGUAAUAAGAAAACAAAAUUAAAAAGAAAUACGAACAACUCAGCAAUUGUACAAAUGCCAAGAUCUUCAAAUUAGGCUCUUUUUUUUUUUCCACAUAUCCGACAAAUCAUAUUUGUUGCUUCUUUUGUGAUGAAUUUAUAUUAUUGGAUAUCAUAUAUGAAAUAUUGUCUUCUAUAACAACACAACACUCUGCGACGGAUUUGCCAUGUUAGAAUGAACAUAUAUUUAUGAGUCCCUCAAAAAUACCCAAAAUAUGACACUCCAUUAGUACUUUAACAAGGUGUAAACUAUAAUUAAAUGAGGACUAGAGAAGAACACUAAUUAAGCCAUGAUUAAACAAUUGUAUGGAAGGUGACCCCCGCAAUCUUUUUAUUUAACCGAAAAUACGCCCUUCCAAACCGGACUUACAUGUGGAAGAUAGGUUUAAUUGGAAUUGCUCUCAUAUAUAACAUGCGAUAAACAUAAAUAAAAAAUUAGUCUUAACAAUUAUAAUUCUCUCUAUCUCUCAGAAAAAUAUAUUCAUGUAAAUCUUACGUUUCUUUUAUCUAAAUAUUCAUAAUUUUUUUUAAAAAAUUUUAGUAUUAAAUAAUAAUUUUUGGAUGGAUGGAUGAAUUAAAAGUGACAUUGCUUAACAAAUACAUAAUAUUCGGGCUCUCGAGAGAGUAACCGGCCUUCUUUUCCCGCCGACUACGCCACGGCCGACAAAAAUAAUAAAACAGAAAAGGAUAGACGAGAGAAAUCCGAGGCAAAAAAGCUUCUCCCCAGUUGGUCAUGACAGAGUCUUCUGAUAUUAUAAUUUUAUAACGUGACAAUAAUAAUAUUCAAUUAACUUUUAUAUAUCUAGCUUACAUGAUAUAAUUUCAUAAGGUGACAGUAAUAAUAUUUAAUUAACUUUUAUCUUACAUGAUAACACACAAUUAUUAUUAUUUUUUAUACUAUGUUAAUUUAACUUGAACUUAUUAUAUUCAGGUCUCUAUCUCACGACCCAUGAGAUUCAACGAAACCGGUAAAAAUAAAUAUUCAUUAUCUUACAUAGAGUGGAAUUGAAAAAGCUAAAAUAAAAGUGUACAUCUUACACCUUUCAUAUUGAUGGAUGAGAUUAACUCAAUAUAAAUGCUCUUUGCAUUAUCUUGCCCACCAUUUAUUAUUUAUUUAUGUCCGUUUAAUCAACUUAAAGAUCUUUUAUUGAAAAAUAUUAUAAAUAUAGUUAAAUAUAUACUAAAUUAAAACUAAUUAAUUGGGACAAACUAAACUACGCAAGUACAAGCAUAAAAAUCAUACUAAUUUAGACAAAGUAGAAAAUAGAUUUUUAUAUUUCUAGUUUUUAAUUAAUUGUUAACUCGGGGUUUAAACCAUCGGCCCAAAAUAUUUAAGUCUAUUUAUUAUUACUAGUGUGUCUGGCACUUGUAAAGACAUCACACACUUUCAUAUUAUCCAAUGCGAGGCUAUUAAAGUGUCAGAUAGAGCUAUAAUAAUGCCGCUACAAAUAAUAAAGGCUAAAUUACAGAAAAUUUUCUUGUAAUAAUCCGCUUUUUCACUUUCCACCCCUGAUAUUUAAAAACCUACAUUUUGCCCCCUUAUAAAAUAAAAAAUGUUCACAGGGGGAUCACGGUGUGUAAAAUGACCAUUUUGCCCCUCGCCAUUGUUGUCUUCUUCCUGAGCUUUCUCAGCCGCCCCUUCAAUCCGCCGCUAUUUCCACCUCAAUCGGCCACGAUUCCUCUCCAAUUUCUUCUCCACUUGCUCCCCUUCUCCUCCUACACCGUCGCCGCCCAUCAAUUUCGGCGACAGUAGGGAGGAUACUAAGAUGGAUGUUGAUGGAGAGGUAGGCAGGGACAACGAGGGCGAAGGCGAGGUGGCGGAGGAGGACGAAAGGGAUGUGGGCGAGGGCGAAACAGUGGAGGACGGCGAGGCGGCGAGGCGGCGAGCCGGAGGGAGCGAAGCAUCAGAGAAGAGGCAGAGGGAUAUUUUCGGUAUAAAAAAAUAUUUUUUAACAGAAUCCCUAACGGAACCCUAACGGUAGGGGUGAAGUGCAUAUUUUUUAUUUUACAAGGAGGCAAAGUAUAGGUUUUUAAAUGUCUGGGGGGGAAAGUGAAAAAGCGGGUUAUUACAGGGGGUUUUUUGUAAUUUAGCCAAUAAUAAAUUAUAAGCAUUCAAAAAUUUAAAAGUUCAUAACAAACAUUAUUUAUAUAAUAUAUUAAUAAUAUUUUAGCUGGACUAAUUAACAUAGUCCAUGUUUUGAUAUAAAAAAACUUAGCUCCAAAAGUAGAAGCUUCUUUUGCUUCUGGGAGCCGUGAUAUGAGGGCAAACGCGUGGCAGUAGCACGUCAGCUACGCCCCCGCCCCCCCCCCACCCCACCCCACCUUUCUCUAGAAGCCCAUCAUAAUCGAAUCGAUCCUUUCCUUUCAACCCAGGGGCGAGGCCAAUCAGCUGUUGCUUUUUCCACGAAUACAAGAUUAUUAUUAUUAUUAUUAUUAUUAAGUGGACUCAUCUUUGGUCGAUAUAUAUUUUCUCCAUACAUUCCCGGUGCAAUAUAUAUGUAUGUAUAUAAAUUAAAGCUUGUUGGAGUUUUUGAGGGACUCCCUGGAUAGAACAGAGACAUGGGUUCUCGCCCGCUCGCCUUGUGCUUUCUGCUCCUCCUCCUGGUUUCCUUCCAUGCUCAUGACUUCCCCAGAUGUGCGGAUGCGAGGCCGCUGCCUUUCGAGAAGCUACAGAGUAAGCGCGAACUACUUUUGUAACUUCAUCUGAAUAUAACUAAAAUUAAAAAAAUUUUAAAUUAGAGUUUCUACUUUCAAAAUUUUAAAACUUGCAUACUUUACCUUUCGUUUUAUCUUAAAAACAAGAGAUAAUUUAAGCAUGUUUAGUUUUCGAUAGUAGUAAAUCAUGAAUCGCAUGCAGCUUCGACAGAAUCUCAUGAUUUCUUUCCGUGUGGUGUGACUGUUUCAGGGUACGUCGGUGUUUUGGGAUCGCUCGGAAUCGUGUGCAGGUGCUGCGACGGAGAAGCGGGCGAGUGCAGGAGCCGGUGGGAAUCAACCUGCGCAAAGCUGGAUUGCCACCCCUCGAAAUUUUAGUGAUGUUAUGUAGUUUGUCGUGCGACAGCUGAAUAAUAUAUACUUCUGUAAAUGAAAACUUUGAAUUCACUGGUUCUAAAAGUAUGCGUUGUGGUGCCUAUGUUUGUUGCAUCUCAAAUGAGAAAUUGAAAACAAUAUUAGUGUGGGAAUAGUCUCAUUUACUAGACGGGGAAUUAGUAUUUGUUUUUUUUUUUUUUUUGGAGAUAGAUAGUACGCUACCCGCUUUGUUUAUUUCAUUUAGAAAUAAACUUAGCUAGAAAUGUGAAUCAACUAGGAUUCGAACUUGGGUCUCAGAUAUCAACCACCAAACCUUUUGCCGCUUGCGUUAGAGACGGUCGGUGGGAAUUAGUAUUUGUCAGUAUUGAAAUAUUGAAAUGGAGUAGUAUAGGGUCAGAAGAAGGGAUAUUGCAAUUGUGCUCAAUGUGAACGGUGGGUGGGAAUUGAACGUGAAAGCAACAGAGGUCCCAUUUGACGUUGGCAUAUGGCGGAGAAACAGUAUAGGAGCUGCGUGGCACUAUCAUAGCCAAUUCCCUCAUUUGUAGCCAAACGUGACAAUAAUGAAUAAAUAAAUACAUAGGUUAUACAUAUUAUACAUAUUCAUUUGUACCUUGUUUGAAUGUAUAAAUAUACCUUAUUCAAUGUAUACUUUUGAUAUACUUUAAAAUUUUGUUUUGUGCCCUGUGUAUUUUUCAUUUGCUCAAAAAAUUUAUACAUUUAUAUAUAUAUAUAUAUAUAUAUAUAUAUAUAUAUAUAUUAUUAUAUAUAUAUAUAUAUAUAUAUAUUAUAUAUAUAUAUAUAGAGCAGGGCUGCUGUGCUCUCAGGACCCGGAGGUCUCCGUGCUCCUGAGCCGUUUUCGAUGAUGGAAUUUUUGAAUCGACGAUCGCUCCGUUAGACUUGAUCUAGCACAUUUGAAGUUUCUAGAAAAUAAUUUUUGUAAUUUUUCGAUAUCAUUUACCUAGUGAUCGAAAGGAUUCAAAAUCCAUAAUUUUAAUGGUUGAUAUCUGCCGUUUUCAAGUUUAACGGUGUAGAAGAUAUUCAAAUCAGAUGAAAUUUGAUAGAAAAUUCUUUAUACUAUCUACAACAAGAUCUAUAUUUCUGAUCGAAAAAUUUAGUGCUAUAUCACCACUUUUUAUAGGAUUUUAUUUUCAGUCGUUAAAAAUUUUUGAUUUUGAAUCCUUUUGAUUGCUAGGUAAAUGAUCAUGAAAAUCGCAAAAAUUAUUUCUAGAAAAGACUUUAAAUACGCUAGAUCAAGUUUAACGGAGCCGAUCGUCGAUUCGAAAACUCCAUCAUCGAAAACGGCUCAGGAGCACGGAGGCCUCCGUGCUCCUGAGAGCACAGCAGCCCUGCUCUAUAUAUAUAUAUAUAUAUAUAUAUAUAUAUAUAUAUAUAUGUUAUCUUAUCAAAUCAUGAAUAACAAGAAAUGUUAAGAAAUAAAAAUCAAACUUUCCAUUUACAAUCACACCUAAAAAUGUUUAUAUUGAAUAAGUUAUUCUUGCAUAAUUUAUUCCGGCAUCCAACCAUAACCUAAAAAAUAUUGUUUGGGUACCUAAAUAUUUUAUUGAACAAAUCUUUUUGAUUUAUUUUUAAAAAUAUAUAAAUCCAGUAGGAGAGGAGCGUGAUUAAAUAUCUAAAAUUGCUUUCGAAUAUCAUAUUCAGCCUUAAGCCAUUUUUUCGGAAUAAGAAAAAUCAACUCGCAUUAAAUGCGCUAUUCAACCAAAUUAUGAUAAUUAAAACCAUUGUAAAGAACAAAAAUUAAGCCUCCAUCAUCUUCCAACCACACAAGAAAUUUUGUUAUUAUUGAAUAUCUUAUUUGUACCUCUAAAUAAAGCUCAAUAUGUCAUUUUACCAUUUCAACAAAUAUCACCCUCCGAAGUUGCUGGCGACGCCAACCAAUGACCAAGGACUCAAUUAAUAUAAACCCAUUAUUUCAACUAACUAAACCUCAAAGUUUCCUGUUUCCAACCAAGCUUAUUAAUAAGCUCCUCUACCUUUUCUGACAAUGGAGACGCAUUAACAAGUUCCUUGAAGUCGCACACCAAAAAUCCUUCAAAUAAUGUAUCGAGAGAAGUAUCAUAAUAAACAAGAUAUUAGAGUUGACGAAGAGUAAUUUGACAGAGGACCCAGAAGAUGUAACUUUUUACAAGUGUUUCUCUGACGACCACAACUAUAAAAUCAUUCGACGUCAAAAUUUCCAAAGUUUCUUUUCACGGAACAGGUAGAGAAACUUAGAUCAACAUAAUCCCAAGCAAUAAGCACGUGCUUUGAAAGUCAUACCAACAUUAAAAUACAACAGUGUCUAGCAUCGUUCCGAGAGUCUGCACGAUGUUGGAUGACAUCAAGUUCGAGACGUGCUCCUCCAGGUGCUUCUUUGCAUCUUGCCGCCCUACAUUAGCGAUUGCCAGCUUCUCAGGCGGCAGUUCGUCCUCCUCCUGGACUGCUUUAUUGUACUUGAUAGCCAAAUUCAGCAUUUCCUGCCCAUAUGUUCAUCAUAUUAAUCAGAACAAGAUGAUAAUUUCAAUUGAGGCAAAAUCAAUGAAGUCCGCUUGAUUUGAAUUGGCCUGUUUCCACGCACCACCGUCAUGCUCACUAAAUUAGUACAAGGGCAUGUGCUACUUGGUUGAAGGGGAAAAUGAAAGAUGCCUACAAGUCUACAACCACCGAGCAUAUACAACCUUUAAAUCAUUUUUAUGUUUUGCUAGUAGAAUGCAUUUCUCUUCAUGAUCAUGAAGAUCUUACAAUGGACUAAAAUCAAACAACUCGAAAAGAGAAUUCCCAUACAGCUAAAGCCAUCCAGUAAGAUAUCACUGAGACAACUUGAUUUGCCCAUCCAAAUAGGCCCUAAAUCUAGUGGACAUGGACCUUCCCUUUUGGCUUACUAGCAAAGUUCAUGCGCUGGAGCAGAGUAGCAAAUUUACAGCAUCGAAUACAAAUAACUAUCAAAUCAAUAUUGUAAAGCUGCAGACAGCCAGCCGUCUCAGUAGGCUUACCUGCACAGUCUGCUCAUUAGUUUUGGCAUGUGUAUCGAAUCGCCGCAGCAUCAAACCAUCCGUCCACUUCUUCUUAUGCAAAUUCAGUAACAUCUUUUCCUCCAGCUCAUUUUUACGAUAAUUAAUGGCUAUGGAGUAGUAAUGUCGGUUCAAUCCAUGAAUCAAUGCCUGGAAAGGCAAAGAGAAUGAGAGUAAGUAGCAGAAAUAAGAAUGAUAAACAGAUAUUAUCCAUAUUGUUAUCUACUAAAGCAAAGAGGUUACCUGAAUGGAUGGUUUGUUGAGGUGUCCAACAUUGGAUGUGGUCUGGCGAGGCUCUUGGCCUAGCAUCAUAGUCUGAGGAUUAAUCAACCGGAAAGCAUCAAUAACCACCUUCCCCUUUACACUUUGGAUUGGGUCUACAACCACUGCAACCGCCCUAGGAUUUAAGGCUUCAAAACUCUGCACAUUGAAAUAUUCGAAUGAUAAAGUUUAAGACCACUUCAAAAUGACAUAAUGGAUUGAACUGCAGAAAAAUAAACAGUUUAUAAUACGAACAGAAAAAGUCUGAACUGAAAAUAAACAUCAGAAAAAGAAAUUCUUUAGACAAGUGGAAAUUCCUAAUUCAUAACUUAAUAUGAAAGAAAAGUAUGUAAAAAUUUCAAGUUACUUGAAAAGGAAAAAAAAAGAAAGUGAGGCACAAACCUGCUGGGUAUUUAUGUCAACACCAGAGAGCCAACAACCAAAGCCAGGAUGAGAGUGGUACCAACCCACCACCAUUUCCGGUCUGUACAAUUUGAACAAGUUAGAAUAUAUGCUGAGACUAAAACACAUCUGAUAAAAAGAAGAAUCUUGACUAUUCUGACACAAAUUAAUAGGCCACCAUGAAGCAUCCAAGUUUUGUAUCUUUUUUAUAUUGCUUUUGUAGAUACCAAAUCUGAUGCAAGCCUUCAAUUAUAGGUGGGUCUUUGCAUUGUUCUAGUGCCAAUAGAUAUAUAUUAUAGGAAGAAGUCCUAAUGAUUCCUAUUAGAUAUUUCAAUUCUUCUUUACUAUGCACUGAAAAAACACAAACUUUGCAACACACAUCACCUAAACAAGAAAACAAGAACUAAUUAAAUAGAAGGUAAACCGUAGGAUGUCACAUAAAAGCAAGAAUUUGUAAAUGGGUAACACCUAAAAGUCCUUUAAGAUGAAUAUAAAGCAUCUGCUUACUUACGUACAAGACAGUAAAAACAUUCACUGUUAUCAAGAAGGAACAAUAUAGCACACUAACAAGUUCUAAGCAAUUCUUGGUUGAAUUUAGCCAAUCUAAGCAAAAAGAUCUUAACUUCUGGUUACAUUUGUACAGAAUUUAAAGUGAAUAUAUCUUCAGUUCUAAACAAUAGGAAGAAGCUGAUUUGUUUUUACAGCUAGGAGCAACAUCUAAACAGCAAAGAGACUAUUAACUGAAAAGGAGAUGAAACAACAGCAGCAGCAACAGCAGUAAAAGAGAAGGAUAAGAACAGCACUAACAGUAUACAUAGAAGAUAUAAACGAUGCUCCAAAAACCAUAUACCAUAGUAAUUGCUAAAACAUCGUUUGGUGCUGCAAAACUCAAAGUCAAAGAAUAAAAAAGGGAACUCCAAAACACAUAAUGUGGAGAACUAAAAAUUUAAUGUAGCAUGCGUACGCAAAUACAUGAGAGCUAAUAAGUUUGUGUAGGGGCACGAAAGCGCACACGUGCACACAAAUAUGAUGCAGGCCAACAUAGAGUGUGCCAACAGACACAUAGCCAUAUACAUGAUUUGCAAUCAUUUUAGCGUCACUUGUAAAUCUUCUGCAUCUCAUACACUCAGUACAGAGAGAAGCAAAACUUCCACAUCUGCUGAAGCAUUGCAUAAAACGCAUUUAUAAGGGCUACAAAAAGCGAAGAUAUGGGAGUGUCCUAGCAUGCCUCUUGCCUAGCAUGGGCUUUAAAACAUAAUCUAAUCUACAUCCUACAUUAAAACAUGAAAUUACUCAGCAUUUUAAGAUAACAACAACCCCACAAGCUUCAAUGUUUUAAAAUUAGCAUUCACAACACUAGCCUCAUGAUCUUACUUACAAUCUAGAGAGCUACACUUAGCAUUCCAAUAAUUCUCUUGUUUCCAAACGCAAUUAUACUAUAAGAUCUACUUGCUAAAGAGCAGGUAGGGUUAGAUAUUAGAGACCUUCCAGUUUGCUUGAGCAUGUCGAGCAUGUUUGUUUGGAAGACGUGAUCGACGGCCUCGACGCUAACCCCUGUUCCGCUCUGCGGCAUCGCGAAGACGUCGACGACGCGCACCGUGUACUCGUCCACGAACUCGCCGAGCAUGAGCCCCAUCACCUCCAUGGGAACCCCGGCCCUUCCUAUACCAACGAAGACGCUGAGAAACCAUAAUCCGAAGACGAAGAGAGGAAAAAGGGGAAGGGGUUUAGGGUUAGGGUGAGUACCGUGCUUGAGCAUCUUGAGGAGGGCGAGGGAGGAGAUGUAGACCUGCUCGGAGGAGUCGAGGAGAGGGGCGUCGCUGGGUGGGUGCCCCAUCCCCCCCGCUCCGAAGAUUCGAGAUAACCUCUCCAUCUCUCCUCCUCUCCUCCUCUCUCUCUCUCUCUCUCUCUCUCUCGAUCUCAACGAUGAGCUCUUUGCUCUGGUUUUCUUCGGGGAAGAAAAGGUAAUUGCAUGCGCGUCCCUGAGAAGUACUAAAAUUGUUAACUUGUCCCUUCAAAUUAUUGGGCCUAACAUCUGGUUCGCACAUAUAAUAAGGCCCACCAACUUCCGCACAAAAUCCCAAAUUCCAUCUGGGAUUUUAACUAAUUUUGUUUACUUUGAUUAAGCCUAUGAACAAAAUGUUGCCCGAAACCAUAUGAAUAAUUUAAGGCCGAAUUUGGCCCAUUGAAUCUACGUGGGCCCAACCAAGGAGAGACGAUCCGGCGCCAAAAAUCAGCAGCACCACCAUUUUAGAACAAUUUUUUUUUUUUUAUCUGUUUUCUUCUUGUUUUUUGUCUUUCGUUUUUCGUUUUUUGUCUGCGUUCCUUCGAUCGGGUCUUGUAUCAGGUUUUUUUUUUUUGUUCAUUUAUUUUCCCCCAUUCCAUUUUAUUCCUUGUUUUGAUCUCUCUCUCUCUCUCUCUCUCUCUCUCUCAUUUAUUUUUCCCCAUUCCAUUUUUUUCCUUGUUUUGAUCUCUCUCUCUCUCUCUCUCUCUCUCUCUCUCAUAUUGAAGGGAAGUGCGGAGGGGAUAUGGCUCAGAGAGUGGACCAAGAGCACGAUUAUUCCAUCUUUAAGAUCGUCUUGUUCGCUGAAACUAGCGCGGGCAAAUCGAUCAUCUCGCGAGCUCUCCAGUUCGUAAUUUCUCUUCUGGUAUCUCAAUAUGUAGGUUUUGUUGUGUCCUGUUUCAAUUUUACCUGGUGUCAGUAUCUCCAAGUUUGUUGUUCUGUUUCUUCUUUAGGUUAUUGCUAUUUGCUUUAAAGCGUUGUCAAUGAUUAUGAUCACUAGUGCCUGUAGUAAUGCCGCAGUAACCAAGCUGUUACAAUCAUGUAAUGAGUUCUAUUAUUUAAAAACGUUAUAUCUGAAACAAUCAUUUUAUUCUGAAUGAGCAUUAUUUUCUAUAUUGAUUGACGUCUUUAGUACAUACAUAUGUUGAAGUUAGACUCAUCCUUUUAAUUAAAUGAACUUUGGACUUGAGCUCGAUGAAAUUGCUGAUAUCUUAACUAGUAAGCACUUAACUAUGUUAGAAAUGGAUCAUUAGAUAUAUACAUAUACAUAUAUGUAUGUAUACAUAUACAUAUACAUAUAUGUAUAUGUGUGUGUAUAUAUAUAUAUAUAUAUAUGAAACUUAGGAAUUCUAUUGAAAUCCAUGGACCCACUUUAAUUUUCCAAAACUGCAUCCUAUCGAAAGUUUAAAUCAGAUUUGGGAGUAGAUUAGUAACUCUGUUUUAUGAUGUCGACAUUUGAUUCUGAAAAGUCAGCACUACUCUUUCGCAACUGUAAUCACUGAAAUUUCAACAUAUACUAAGCAACCCAUUGUACAUUAUUUGUGAGAAAAUUAAGAACGCCGUCUAAUGUAUAAGAUAAGAUUUAUCCAUGGCUGUAGACAUCUCAAUUCAUCUUCUUCCUUUAUUUGAGAUGAUGGUGGCUUUUUUUUUUCCGAUGUUUAAGAUACUACCUUUUUGUUGCCUGUGCUGACGUUUUCUACAAAAGAUAUGGUGAUUGAUAUAUGACAAUGUUUGUUAUCUUAAUUCUUUCAGAAUUUUUACUCUUCUGUUCAGUUCGGAAUGUGAGUUGCAAUUUUAUUCAUGUUUCAAGUAACUGCCCAUACCGUCAGAAUAAUGUAGGCUUAUCUGAUUGGCGUAUCAUCUAGUCAAUGUUCUUCUGUGAAGGAUGAAAAAGUUUGGGGUGCGGUGGGGUGUGGGUAGGGGUGGGGGAUUAGAAUAUGUCCUUUUUCAUCCUCUUGUGUCAAUUUCUUUCAAAAGGAAUUUGGUAGGUUUGAUAAUUUGUUAUUACUUCUCUUUCUUAUCGUCCCAAAAAAGCCAGAUGCUUAUGAAUCUGCAUUAUGUGAAGAUGCUUUUCUCCUCUUUCAGUGAACGAAUUGUUGCAUUCUGGGUUUAUUUAUCAGUUACGAGAACUUAUCCCGAACAUUGUUCUUUCUUUCUCUUUCAGAGACUAUAUAUCCGUAUGAUUUCUGUGUCAUAGUAUAUUAGAUGAUUAGAUCUUUCUACGUCUGAGGUCUAUCACUUCACCCCACCAAAGAUUGAGGUCCAGGUCUUUGCAUGUGCAUCUCAUUUUGGGAACUUUCUGUUUCAUUAUGCUGAUUCCUGUUCAGAUUCUUGUAUUGAUUCUCCAUCAGAAGAAAAGGAGGAAAAAGAAUUGAUUCUUCUAGCUUUCAAUCUUGCUUUUGCAAUGGUGUUGUGAAAUGGUUUAACCUUGUGAAAUGGUUUAACUUUGUAGACAUGAUGUUACCAUGUAGAGUCAAGUAGAAAAUUUGCUUUGUUGUAUUCAAAUGCACAAACUGUGUUUGGAUUUGGAUCAUAUUUCCUAAAUGGUUUAGUGGUUAAAGUUAUUUAACGUGUUGUGCUAGCGGUCUCCCCUGUUUGAUUAGCACCAAGGUAUUUUAUUCCACUUGAUGUAACUUGAAAUCUAGAGAGCUCCUCAUGCAGUAGUAGCCCUCGAGGGCUUAAACUUGUUUGUCGAUUUAGAUUCCUUGGAACAUAUUUCUGCCUAAUAAUCUGUUGAUAACAUACUAUAAUAUGAUCUCAUGCAAUCUCAGGACCUGGGAUGUAUUUGUGGGUCCAUCACAUGAACAACCGAUAUAAUUAGAAAUCAGGUGCCGACUACACUUUCUCGUGCCAGGAUUUCUUUCUAGAACCGAACACUAACCAAUGUAAUAGCUAAUGCGAGCAGUUAUAUUAUUCAUGAUGCUCCAAAUUGUUUGAGAUAUCAUGAAAAACAUCUAACUGGUUGACUUUAUAGGUCUUAAUGUACUGUCAUAAAUAUUGGUAUGUCCUGUACAACAUCCAUGUUAUUGGGACUAUCUCUUUUCUUUGGUUAUAUAAAGAGAAAUAACUGUUGUCCAUUAUGGAACCCACAUAACCAAACGUUAUUAGCAUGUUAACUCAUUCCUUUGGAAAAUGGGUUUCUAUCCUUCAAAAGUCAAAACUUUAAUUCUUCAUUAUAUCCUUCAGAUACGCAACUUUCUCACAAAAACUAUUAUCAGGUGAAUCAUGUCAAAAAUUCAACUAAACUGGGUUCAGAUUGCAUAUUCCUUAUCGAAAUGUAGUCACAAAUUGGGAAAAGCUUCUAAAACCUUUUAGUGGGAUCCUAUCCAUAUAGCUGGCAGUUUAAAAAGAUCCGAGUUUGUAGCAAUGCUGUUUUCCCACAACAUCUCUACAGUUUUGCGGCAAUUGUGCAUAAAUGUUUUCUUUCUUAAGAGUUAAGUUGCUUAUACAAAAAAGUAAUAAGAGUCUUUUGUUCUCUUACCCAAAACUGAAUUUCUUAUUUGUUUGUGUUAGUACUAAAUGUAUUGCUUCUCUUCCAAAUGCUUCCUAAAUAGUAGAUACUGUUUUUAUUUCCUUGAUAGCUAGCUUUCAAGAGGAGCUGUGUUGCAGAGCUCCUAAUUUAACUACAUGAUAAAAGAUGAAGAUAUUGAGUCGAGCAUGUGAUCAGAUCUUCCGGCUUUAUUCUCCUCUCCUACGACUGCCAGCUUCUUCCUUAGUAAGCCUCCAUUACCUUUAACUUAUAGUCUUGCCUUUCACAUGGAUCAGGAAAAUCACGUGAGGACUUUUUUACAAAAUAAUCAUCUAAAAUUUUAUAAUUUGCGAAAUAACCCUAUCAAAUUUGUAUUUGGCAAAUUAACUCUCAAAACGCAGUGAAUCAUUCACCGUAUUCUGAAAGUUUUUAAGGUCUUUUAAAGGCGGUGAAUCAUUCACCGUCUUCUUCAUAAUUUUUAAAAGACGGUGAAUGAUGUCUUCUUCACAAUUUUUUGGGAAAGAGAAAAAAAUAAGGUUGUUAAAAUUGUACGUAGAUUAUACGGGAAAUAAAAAAAGUGAGGUUGUUAGGAUUGUGUGUGGAAUAUUAGAAUUUUUGUUUGAUUGAUAGAAUUAUAUGGAUAGAUUAUUAAAAAUUUUUUGAUUGUUAGGAUUAUAUUGACAUACUAGUGAAAUACCCGCGCGAUGCUGCGGAUCUAAAAAUAUUUUUACAAUAAAUUUUAUUUUUUUUCAUAUUUUUAUAUAGUUUUAUAAGUCUAAUUAUUAAUUAAAUAAAAAUGAUAGAAAAAUAAUUUAAUAGUUAAAUCUAUUUAAAUAAAAGUCAUUAAAAUUGGUAUAUGCGCAAAUAAAUUUAUACAUCACUUUAUUUUAUAAAGAUUUCUGUGAGAAGGAUUUGAGAUAAAUCUAUCAAAAUAAUUUUAAAAAAAUCAAUAGAUAGAAGGGAAAUAAAUUUGUAGAAGAAAUUGCUUAAUAAAAUUAAUUAUAUAUAUGUACACAUAUACACUAUAUUUUUAAAAUUUUUCACUUGAAAUUUAAAUUAUGUAUUUUUUUUAUACAACGAUAUUUUACGUGAUUUAAAUUAAAUCUAUCAUGUUAAACUUUAUUAUGCGAUUUAUUACGCGUAUUAUUAAUAAAUUAAUUAAUUAAUUUCAUAGAGUUUAGAGAUUUAAAAUUUUAAAUUUUGAAGAAAUUUAAAUUAUGUAUUUUUUUAUACAACGAUAUUUUACUUAAUUUAAAUUAAAUCUGUCAUGUUAAAUUUUAUUACGCGAUUUAUUACGUCUAUUAUUAAUAAAAUUAAAUUAAUUAAUUUCAUAGAGUUUAGAGGUUUAAAAUUUUAAAAUUUGAAGUUAUAAAAUUGAAAAUAAAUAUUAUAAGUUAAAAUUAAAAUUUAGAAUUUAAAAUAUUUUUGAUAAUGACGCAAUAUAAUUAACAAUUUAAAAUGUCGGUUUCGUAGAUUAUUUCGUGUUUUUUUUUAUUUUGAUUGAUUGUACCCUUUGCAUCUCCCUUUCUUAACUUGUGCUCUUCGCUUGUUUCCCAUCUCCCUUUGUCCCCAUCAUGCGCUCUUUGAAAAUUUUUUACUAUGAAAGAUGUGAAAAUGUCAUCGAUGUGACGCUCAAUACUCUUAUCGGAUGAGAACGAAGUUAUGAUUGAAUUAUUAAAAAAAAAAUUCAUAUACCCUUAUGUGGUUUCACACUUUUUCACUUUAGUAUCCUAUGAUUUAAAAUGUAUUAAGUUAGCCCAUGUGGUUUCGCACUUUCUCACUUAGUACCAUGUAGUUUAAAGUGUAUCAAGUUAGUAUCCUGUGAUUUUAUUUUUCUCUUUUUAUUAUUCAUUUUACUAAUUUUUUCGUUAAAUCAGUGACAAAGUUAAAGCUAAAGGAUACUAAACUGAAUAUUCGAUAAACCUAGAUAGGGUAUUUGAAGUUUUUUGUAUAUAAUUUAACGAAAUAUUAACGGAGGAAAAAAAAAUCAGUGACAAAUUUAAAAGUAAAGGGUACUAAAAUAAAUAUUCAAUAAACCUAGGUAGGGUAUCUGAAGUUUUUUGUAUAUAAUUUAACGAAAUAUUAACAGAGGAGCCGACGAAAAGAGAAAAAUGAAACCACAGGGUACUAACUUGAUACACUUUAAACCACAGGGUACUAAAGUGAGAAAGUGCGAAAUCCCAGGGGCUAACUUGAUACACUUUAAACCACAGGGUAUUAAAGUGAGAAAGUGUGAAACCACGAGAGGGUAUUUGAAAUUUUUCCUUAUAAAAAUCUAUGGACGUUAGUAAUAAUAACUGUGCUUUAGCAUUUUGGACAAAUGAUUUGGAUUCAACGAGUUACUAUUACUAGUGAACAAUAUCAUUAUAAGUCGAAGGACAGUGAGUCGUAUAUUAUCUCUCCUAAUUAAAUAUUAAAUAAUAAACUUCAAAUAUCAGCCUUGUAGUUUUACAUUAAUUACUGAAGAGAAUAAUAAAAAAAUAAAAAUAAAACCACGAGACACUAAAUUGAUACAUUUUAAACCACAGGUACUAAAUUAAUGCAUAUAUCGAACACGAGUUGAAAUUAGCUCGUUCUUAUUUAAUUUCGAACUCGUUUUGAGCCGAACACGAACUGGCUCGCAAUUCACAACCCUAGU
rnacentral:lncRNA from 1 species